UACGUAGGUGGCAAGCGUUAUCCGGAUUUAUUGGGCGUAAAGGGAACGCAGGCGGUCUUUUAAGUCUGAUGUGAAAGCCUUCGGCUUAACCGGAGUAGUGCAUUGGAAACUGGGAGACUUGAGUGCAGAAGAGGAGAGUGGAACUCCAUGUGUAGCGGUGAAAUGCGUAGAUAUAUGGAAGAACACCAGUGGCGAAAGCGGCUCUCUGGUCUGUAACUGACGCUGAGGCUCGAAAGCAUGGGUAGCGAACAGG
rnacentral:rRNA from 1 species